AUCGGAGCGGAAGGAAGCUCACUGUAGAGGUUACAAACUGGGUGUUAAUCACUCGUCCAAUCACCUCGGGGAAGGUCUGAGACAGGAGCCAAUCGCUGUCCUCACAGGACAUCAUCUGAACAGAUGAGCGAGUGCACAGAAAAUUGGGUCAAAACGCGGUGUUCACGCACGAGACGUUGGUAAGCAAAAUAGCGGAUCAAUUGAUGCGAUCCCCGUCGACUUGGAAACGCUCGCGGCUGGCGCAAUGAGUUCAAUGUGUGAACUAGCACAAGAUGCUAGAACCCAAUUCAGACUACUCUCC
rnacentral:RNase_P_RNA from 1 species